AGCUUAUCAUAGUGGCAGUAUCAUAGCCAAUGAAGCUUAUCCAAGGUGUAAUUAUUGCUCAUUGAAAUUUUUUUCCCAAUAUCCCAUCAUAACAACUUGAAAUAUAGAUAGCAUUGGCAAUUUUUAAAAAGGCAGGGUGGAGUAGGCU
rnacentral:snRNA from 1 species